CUUUGGGAUAACCCUCGGAAACGGGGGCUAAUACCGGAUAUGACGCUUCAUCGCAUGGUGGGGUGUGGAAAGUUUUUCGGCUUGGGAUGGGCUCGCGGCCUAUCAGCUUGUUGGUGGGGUGAUGGCCUACCAAGGCGACGACGGGUAGCCGGCCUGAGAGGGCGACCGGCCACACUGGGACUGAGACACGGCCCAGACUCCUACGGGAGGCAGCAGUGGGGAAUAUUGCACAAUGGGCGGAAGCCUGAUGCAGCGACGCCGCGUGAGGGAUGACGGCCUUCGGGUUGUAAACCUCUUUCAGCGGGGACGAAGCGUGAGUGACGGUACCUGCAGAAGAAGCGCCGGCCAACUACGUGCCAGCAGCCGCGGUAAGACGUAGGGCGCGAGCGUUGUCCGGAUUUAUUGGGCGUAAAGAGCUCGUAGGCGGCUUGUCGCGUCGACUGUGAAAACCCGCGGCUCAACUGCGGGCCUGCAGUCGAUACGGGCAGGCUAGAGUUCGGUAGGGGAGACUGGAAUUCCUGGUGUAGCGGUGAAAUGCGCAGAUAUCAGGAGGAACACCGGUGGCGAAGGCGGGUCUCUGGGCCGAUACUGACGCUGAGGAGCGAAAGCGUGGGGAGCGAACAGGAUUAGAUACCCUGGUAGUCCACGCUGUAAACGUUGGGCGC
rnacentral:rRNA from 1 species